rnacentral:siRNA from 1 species
AACCAAAUGCUGUCACGACAGGGA